rnacentral:rRNA from 1 species
CCUGAAUCCAUCUCGAACUCAGAAGUGAAACGUACAUGCGCCAAUGAUAGUGUGAGGCUUCCUC